UGUCGCCAUCGCGGCAUCCCGUCGGCGUCGUCCUGCGUGGAGUGCAACCGCCGCCUCCGUCGACACCCUCGCCAGCCUCCGUCAACACCCUCGCCAGCCUCCGUAACGUGGCCACCACCUCCACAGUCCACACGCCACCGCAUCUUGCAGCUCGCACACGGACACCGCCAACAGCCUGAGGAGUGAGGACGCCGCCGAACCCCAUCUCCACUCUCCAAUCCUGCCUGCACAGAGCCGUCGCCAACACCUCCCCAGACCACGCGGUAGGCACGGUUCUGAUCUCCCCUACAUCUUCCAGAUCGUCAACAUGAAUUUGCAGUUACCCUCUUAGUGCCGCCUGCUGCUUAAAUCGAAAAUGCACUUCCCAGAAGAAGAAGUGGAACAUCCGGUGAAAGAAGAUUUUGGGACCUAGCAUUUUAUCUUUGUGAUGAUAUUGUUCUGUGCUCAUAGCAAACAAUGUCUAUUGUAUUCAUUUUGUUGAGGACUUCGGUGAUCAUGCUGGAAGCCUAUUUACAUGAAUGUUGUCAAGUGCUUAUGAUCCUUUCACUGAAGUCAUUUUUGGUGAAA